CUCCACGCAAGGGCAGAGAGAGAGUGGAAGGAGCCGGCAGCGCUGCUUUUGUUGGCUCUUCUGGACGGUGGGCGUGGGAAGCCUGGGGUCUCACUCUGUCUCUUUCCCCCUCAAACACUGGCUGUCUGCACUGGCUCUAAGUGUCAGGAGAGGAAAUAGGGGAAAGGAGCAUUUUCUGGAAAAUGACCACAACGGUUGACUGGGGGAGGAGGGAUGAGAGGGCGGGAGGACUUUUUAAAGUUAUGUUUUCCUUAAGCCACCAGAAUCACGAAAUCCAGCUAAGUCUACUUCUAGGAAACCCCCAAAUGACUUGGGCAUUUAUUUAACUCAAUGAGAACCUGUCAGGCCCAUUAUUUCAUUAGUAUUUCUGAGACACCACUACCGGGGAUUUGGUGAAACUCUUCUACCUUCUAGACUUUUAAAGAGACUUGUCAUACGACCUCUGGGUCACUCCCUGCCUGGCCAUUUAUUAUAUUUAUCACUAGGGAAGAAGGAAAACUGCUACAGAAUAAAACCCAGAACAAGAACAGCACCAAGGGGAGCUGUGUGCAAGAAAUUCCUUCAGGGUGCAGCAUGCUCCAGUAAUGACCAACAAGCUUGCAACUCUUACCUGCAAGGACGGGUGAACGCAGAUGCCUGGCUAGAUGUGGACUUAGGACAAGGCCAGGGAAGGGACCGUCCACGCCGGCUGCCUGGGGAAGGCUGGGUCCUGAGGUGUGCUCCAAAGCAAGAAAGCUCUCUUCGCUGUUCACUGUCAGUCAAAAACAAGUUGGUGCAAGUUGGAGUAGGAUUUACCUGAAGGAGCUGAAGAGAGGGAGAAGGAGACUGGGGGAGAUUGGGCGAAGGGAGGGAG
rnacentral:lncRNA from 1 species